CGGGGAAUAUUGCGCAAUGGGCGAAAGCCUGACGCAGCGACGCCGCGUGGGGGAAGAAGGCCUUCGGGUUGUAAACCUCUUUCAGGGGGGACGAAGCCACUAGGGUUAAUAGCCCAAAGAGUGACGGUACCUCCAGAAGAAGCCCCGGCUAACUACGUGCCAGCAGCCGCGGUAAUACGUAGGGGGCAAGCGUUGUCCGGAUUUAUUGGGCGUAAAGAGCGUGUAGGCGGCCAUGCAGGUCCGUUGUGAAAACUGGAGGCUCAACCUCCAGACGCCGGUGGAAACCGCAUGGCUAGAGUCCGGAAGAGGAGAGUGGAAUUCCUGGUGUAGCGGUGAAAUGCGCAGAUAUCAGGAAGAACACCCGUGGCGAAGGCGGCUCUCUGGGACGGUACUGACGCUGAGACGCGAAAGCGUGGGGAGCGAACAG
rnacentral:rRNA from 1 species